UACGGAGGGGGUUAGCGUUGUUCGGAAUUACUGGGCGUAAAGCGCGCGUAGGCGGAUUAGAAAGUUGGGGGUGAAAUCCCGGGGCUCAACCCCGGAACUGCCUCCAAAACUACUAGUCUAGAGUUCGAGAGAGGUGAGUGGAAUUCCGAGUGUAGAGGUGAAAUUCGUAGAUAUUCGGAGGAACACCAGUGGCGAAGGCGGCUCACUGGCUCGAUACUGACGCUGAGGUGCGAAAGUGUGUGGAGCAAACAGG
rnacentral:rRNA from 1 species